rnacentral:rRNA from 1 species
UACGUAGGGGGCUAGCGUUGUCCGGAAUCAUUGGGCGUAAAGCGCGUGUAGGCGGCCCGGUAAGUCCGCUGUGAAAGUCGGGGGCUCAACCCUCGAAUGCCGGUGGAUACUGCAUGGCUAGAGUACGGAAGAGGCGAGUGGAAUUCCUGGUGUAGCGGUGGAAUGCGCAGAUAUCAGGAGGAACACCAAUAGCGAAGGCAGCUCGCUGGGACGUUACUGACACUGAGGCGCGAAAGCGUGGGGAGCGAACAGG